AUUGAACGCUGGCGGCAGGCCUAACACAUGCAAGUCGAACGAGUGGCGGACGGGUGAGUAAUGUCUGGGAAACUGCCUGAUGGAGGGGGAUAACUACUGGAAACGGUAGCUAAUACCGCAUACCAUCGGAUGUGCCCAGAUGGGAUUAGCUAGUAGGUGGGGUAAAGGCUCACCUAGGCGACGAUCCCUAGCUGGUCUGAGAGGAUGACCAGCCAAACUGGAAAGUAGAGACGGGCCAGACUCCGACGGGAGGCAGCAGUUGGGAAUAUUGCACAAUGGGCGCAAGCCUGAUGCAGCCAGGCCGCGUGUAUGAAGAAGGCAUUCGGGUUGUAAAGUACUUCCAGCGGGGAGGCGUUACCAGCAGAAGAAGCACCGGCUAACGCCGUGCCAGCAGCCGCGGUAAUAC
rnacentral:rRNA from 1 species